AACGAACGCUGGCGGCGUGCCUAACACAUGCAAGUCGAACGGAAUUUGAGAGCUUGCUCUUAAAUUUAGUGGCGCACGGGUGAGUAACGCGUAGAUAAUCUGCCUGACGAUCUGGGAUAACACUUCGAAAGAGGUGCUAAUACCGGAUAAGCCCACGGAGUCUUUGGAUUCUGCGGGAAAAGGGGGGACCUUCGGGCCUUCUGUCGUCAGAUGAGUCUGCGUACCAUUAGCUAGUUGGUAGGGUAAUGGCCUACCAAGGCGACGAUGGUUAGCUGGUCUGAGAGGUUGAUCAGCCACACUGGAACUGAGACACGGUCCAGACUCCUACGGGAGGCAGCAGUGGGGAAUUUUGCGCAAUGGGCGAAAGCCUGACGCAGCAACGCCGCGUGAGUGAUGAAGGCUUUCGGGUCGUAAAGCUCUGUCGAGGGGAAAGAAGUGUACUUUGGCUAAUAUCCAUUGUACUUGACGGUACCCCUAAAGGAAGCACCGGCUAACUCCGUGCCAGCCGCCGCAGUAAUAC
rnacentral:rRNA from 1 species